rnacentral:rRNA from 1 species
GAUGAACGCUAGCGGCAGGCUUAACACAUGCAAGUCGAGGGGCAGCACGUCUUCGGAUGGUGGCGACCGGCGCACGGGUGCGUAACGCGUAUAGAACCUACCUUUUACAGGGGAAUAGCCCAGAGAAAUUUGGAUUAAUGCCCCAUAGUAUUAUUAGAUGGCAUCAUUUGAUAAUUAAACAUUUAUGGGUAAAAGAUGGCUAUGCGUUCUAUUAGCUAGAUGGUAAGGUAACGGCUUACCAUGGCGACGAUAGAUAGGGGUCCUGAGAGGGAGAUCCCCCACACUGGUACUGAGACACGGACCAGACUCCUACGGGAGGCAGCAGUGAGGAAUAUUGGACAAUGGGCGAGAGCCUGAUCCAGCCAUGCCGCGUGCAGGAAGACGGUCCUAUGGAUUGUAAACUGCUUUUAUACAGGAAGAAACACUCCCUCGUGAGGGAAUUUGACGGUACUGUAUGAAUAAGCACCGGCUAACUCCGUGCCAGCA